AAGUCAGAGCAGAAGAUAGCUUCCCUAGGAUCUGUUUUAAUGUUUGCUUCUCUACAACACAGGGUCUCAUGAAGCCUGGGCUGGCCUGGGACUCAACUGUGUAGCUGAGGCUAGCCUUGAACUUGAUUCUCUAGUGUCUCUACCUCUGGAUACUGGGAUUAUAAGCAUGUACCACCACGCCCAACUCAUGAGGUGCUGCAAAAAGAACCCAGGGCUUCCUGAAUGCUAGGAAGGCACGCUACCAACUGAGCCACAUCCCCACACCCUCCUCUGGGGAUAUACCCAGGUUCAAAUCCAAGGACUUAGCGACACACAUGCUAUGGGAUCUGGGCAUGCUUCUAACCUGUCUACUGAUGGCGAAAGCCAGAGAGCCCAGCUUCCCGUUUUAAGCUGUCCUUGGCACGUUUAACUGGUGGCCAUGUGGGACUGCUGGAAAAAGUUUUUGAGAUCACCAAGAGCUUUGACUUUCCUGCCCACAAAAACACAAUCAGCCUUGGCAGAUGUCCAACACGUGACCUUAGGUCCAUUUAAUGAAAACUGUAUUGAUUCAAAAAGAAAGAAAGAAAAA
rnacentral:lncRNA from 1 species